rnacentral:rRNA from 1 species
CCUACGGGAGGCAGCAGUAGGGAAUCUUCCACAAUGGGCGAAAGCCUGAUGGAGCAACGCCGCGUGAGUGAAGAAGGUCUUCGGAUCGUAAAGCUCUGUUGCACGGGACGAAAACUGGGUUUGAGAACAUUGAACCUGGGUGACGGUACCGAGCGAGGAAGCCACGGCUAACUACGUGCCAGCAGCCGCGGUAAUACGUAGGUGGCGAGCGUUGUCCGGAAUUAUUGGGCGUAAAGGGAGCGCAGGCGGACAUAUAAGUCCAUCUUAAAAGUGCGGGGCUCAACCCCGUGAGGGGAUGGAAACUGUAUGCCUUGAGUGCAGGAGAGGAAAGCGGAAUUCCCAGUGUAGCGGUGAAAUGCGUAGAUAUUGGGAGGAACACCAGUGGCGAAGGCGGCUUUCUGGACUGUAACUGACGCUGAGGCUCGAAAGCCAGGGGAGCGAACGGGAUUAGAUACCCCGGUAGUCCUGGCCGUAAACGAUGAAUGCUAGGUGUAGGAGGUAUCGACCCCUCCUGUGCCGGAGUUAACGCAAUAAGCAUUCCGCCUGGGGAGUACGGUCGCAAGACUGAAACUCAAAGGAAUUGACGG